rnacentral:rRNA from 1 species
CCUACGGGGGGCAGCAGUGGGGAAUAUUGGACAAUGGGGGCAACCCUGAUCCAGCCAUGUCGCGUGUGUGAAGAAGGCCCUCGGGUUGUAAAGCACUUUCAGUGAGGAAGAACGCCUGGUGGUUAAUACCCAUCAGGAAAGACAUCACUCACAGAAGAAGCACCGGCUAACUCCGUGCCAGCAGCCGCGGUAAUACGGAGGGUGCGAGCGUUAAUCGGAAUUACUGGGCGUAAAGCGCGCGUAGGUGGCUUGAUAAGCCGGUUGUGAAAGCCCCGGGCUCAACCUGGGAACGGCAUCCGGAACUGUCAAGCUAGAGUGCAGGAGAGGAAGGUAGAAUUCCCGGUGUAGCGGUGAAAUGCGUAGAGAUCGGGAGGAAUACCAGUGGCGAAGGCGGCCUUCUGGACUGACACUGACACUGAGGUGCGAAAGCGUGGGUAGCAAACAGGAUUAGAUACCCCAGUAGUC